GACGAACGCUGGCGGCGUGCUUAACACAUGCAAGUCGAACGAAGUGGCGAACGGGUGAGUAAUACGUGGGUAACCUGCCCUCCUUUUUGGGGUAAGCCUUGGAAACGGGGUCUAAUACCGAAUAAAGGGGGAUGGGCUCGCGGCCUUUCAGCUUGUUGGUGGGGUGAUGGCCUAACAAGGCGGUGAAGGGUAGCCGGCCUGAGAGGGUGAACGGCGUCAUUCGUACUGAGAUACGGCCCAGACUCCUACGAGAGGCAGCAGUGGGGUAUAGUGCACAAUGGGCGAAAGCCUGGUGCAGCGACGCCGCGUGGGGGAUGAAGGCGUUCGGGUUGUAAACCUCUUUCGCUUUCGAACGGGUAGGUGGAGAAGAAGGGCCGGCUAAGUACGUGCCAGCCGCCGCGGUAAUAC
rnacentral:rRNA from 1 species